UGCCGCCGUUCCGACUCCCGAAAAAAAAAACGCAUCUCCCCGUCCGCUCGGCCGUCGCCCAGCACCGCUCCGCCUUCUGGCCAUCGCCGCCGCCUCCCCACCGCUGCCAUGCCCCGAUCCCUCUAUGAUGUGCCUCCUGUGGUACUCCAUCCUCCUUCUCCUUCCUGCAGUGCGCCGCCCCUUCCAGCGUCGUCGUUCUCGUCCUCUCCUAGCGCCCUCCCCACCCAUGGCUGUCGUUCGAGAUCUGUCCUUGCCAGCUGCCUGCCUUUAUCGCUGUCCCGUUCUGCGAUUGGAAUGGCACCUGCCGGGCACGCCACUCUCCUAUUGCGGCAACAAUGGAUACCUGUGAAUAGCAUUAGAUAGUGAUGAUGCCCGUCUUUGCAGUCAUGUGGUCAGCUUUGUCCUCCGGCAAUCGAACAGCAGCGGAACUAAAGCCGUGGAACAAGAGUGUAACCUGUCCUGUUUCUUUGUGUUUGAAUCUCAUCAAUUGCCAAUACUCAAUAUGGAGAUUGUUGGUCUGUGAAUUUGUGGACAAAAAGUGCAGUUCAAAGUGUUGUGAUGUAAGUUUUUGAUAUAUACAGCAACAAUGCCUAGAUUUAAAACUUGAGGUAAUCAAGAGCAUAACUUAACUAUAAUUGAAAAGAACAACACUACAAAAAAAAUCUAAUGUCCUCUCUUUGCAGUUACUAUAUCAAGGCAAGAGUUUCUUUUCCUUAUUUGUAGUUAAAUUCCAAAUGCUAUUGCACAUUAGAGGCUAUGACAUACAUGUUUGAAUCUAGGUUCAGAGAAAUAUUUGCAUACUUCAAGUGAUUAAGAAAGUUUUCAAGUAUCAUAUAUAUCUGACCUUUAGGCCUGAGGCUUCAUGAUUUUGUUCUGGCCAAGGAAUUGGUUCAACUUCAUGAAGCCAUGCUCAACCCUUAAGUGAGGAAUAGGAAUUCUUCUUUGGUAAGUUACAUACGUAAAGAUUUUGUAUAACAAUACUUUACAUCUAUAUAUUUUGUCUGUGUGCUAGCUUGGAAUUCAGUUUGUGCUCAUAAUAUGGCCAAUUUAUUCCUGUAGCCCGCACAAUCAGCUUAUGCAAUUGCAUGAUGUUUCAUGAUUUCUGAAAACCUGUGUAAGCACACAACAAAAUGGUCAACUAGAAUUUUUUUAAGAUGCAGUCCGCUACAUGCUGAUUCUGUGGCUACACAAUGGUGCGCCACUUUAAUCUCUCCAACAGCCCCAUUGGAUAACUGAUGAAUUGUGCAUUUGAAGUAAAAUUUGCAGCUACUAGAGCCCCAAUCCAUCAGGUAACCCACGCCCUUGUUUAUUCAUGGCCUCUUUCUCAAUCAUUUCUUCUCCUUCAUCCAUUAACACAUACCCUAUUUUCUUGCUACAAUAAAUUUAUCAAGCACUUGAUUGGUUAAAAAUAGGGAUCAAAGACAUUGGCUUCCACUAGCAAUUGGAUGAUGAGAAUGGAGAAGCAAGUGCUCAUUGUUGAGACCUAGGUGUGGAGAUGAGAUCUGAUUUUCAUGGAGUUAAUUCACAAAAAGUUCGAUUAGCAGUUCACUUGUGCUUAUUGUCUGCAUAUUUAGUUUGUUCCACCCCAUGGAUUACAUUGUAUAGCACUGAUAAGGUUUUAUGGGGGUGAUCAGAUUAUGAUGGACUUAUUCUGCACAAAAGUUUGAUUAGGUAGCAGCUCAUCUAUGUUUAUUAUAUGUACACUAUGUCUGCCCCAUGGAUUAGAAUAUAGAGCAUGAAUAAGAUUUCAUAUAAAUGUCAUGCUCCAAAUUUUUGAACCCAUACUAUACAAAGCGAUCAGUUUUCAGUCUGACAUUUUACCAGUUUUCGUUGCCUCAAUGAACCAGGAUUAGGUAUGACUCAUACUGAAAUAAUCACACGUUCGGAACCAGGAAAGAAACCAGCACGUUAACCGUUACAAAUAAUUGUUUUUUUAUUAUUUCCCUAUUUUAUACUUGCUAGUGUUCCUACAAUGUGUUUCGUAAUACAUCAGAAUUAACUUGGGAAUUUAAAACUAGCUUUAAUUGCCACCAUAUUAUCUGAAAUUACAGAAGCAUGAUGGAGGAACAUGUGCAAAUUAUAGCGAUUGAAUGUGCAACUGUGGCAUCGCAAAUUAUGUUUUCCCCUUAAUUUUUAUUCUACAUGGUACCUAACAUUCCUCUGCUCAUUGUUCUUAUUUUUAAGGUCAUGAUCUGCAUACAUUCAGGCAUUCACAUGGAUAUGGGAAGCGUUCGUGAUAGCUGACCAUAUUGCGCAGCAUUAUGCAGCGAUACAGAGAUUUUUUUUUUCAAAAUAACAGGCCAAUACUGUCCAGGCUUACCUUUUCACCAAGGAACCAAUAAAGUGUAAAAUUGCACAUGAAGAGAUGCCCAAGAAAUACUUUGCUACUAUAUCAUGCAAACUGUGAGACGAAAACUUGGUACUGGUGUGUAGUGUGGUGAACAUGCUUUCAGCAAGAAGGAAUGCAAAGAUCUAAAUGUACUUGGUUUAUUUGCAUAGUGCAAUUGGCUCUUGUGAAUUUUGAUUGUUCAACUAAAGCUUCAAGUUUCCUCAUGAAAAUGGUACAAUAUUGUCGAGAUAUUGUUUUUUUAACAAAAUAUUAUGUUGCAAUAACAUCUUACUCAGUAAUAGAAUUGCAAAUCACUAGUGAACUUUACACUAGGUGGCCAACUUUUGCUACGGCCGUGCCUCACGCGUCACGCCCCGCCUGACAUGCUUGAACCGCGAUCUCGAUCCGGUCGUGGAUCCACCUCGCCGGUCCGGCACUCCGCGCGCGCGUCGUGCAUGGUGGUAUAUCGCGCGCCCAUGGCAGAUGGCACCGGCGCACCGCGCGCUGCUGAAGAGGUUGGCCGGUGGUAAACCGAUCGGAAGUCUUUGUGGCUGCAUGCAGUUUUUCGUUCGGAAGACCCAGUAGUGGAACUUGACAAACAUGCAGUCUCGUCUACCGCAGUGUCGAGUCGCGCACGUCGCGUAAUUAAGAAGAAGAAACAUCCAGAUAACAGUUAUUGUGCAAGCCUAGCUGGCAAGCUACUGAAACUGCACCAGUUUGAAAGGAUGGCCAUGUCGAUCAGCAAGUCAUUCGUUCUGCCACUGUUGAUGGCGGUGCUGAUGCUGUUGGCCGUUUCAGGGUCGGCGCGGCGGCUGGAAGGUGAUCGGUCGACCGGCGGCGAGGCUGCCUUCGGAGUCGGCCAUCCUAUCAUACAGUUCCUCAAACGCCUGUACCUGCAGCAACUGUCGUCAGGUCCAGGGGGAUCCUGCGGAACCUACGACCCAAACAACCCAGCAUGCCAUGGUCACUGAACAAUCAUCAGGCAUUGCAUACCAAACAUGGCAAUUCAACAGAUUGACCGAGCCUGUGUAUGUACAUAUACACGUAUACACAAUUAUACUUCUCUCUGUCACAGUGAUGGUAUUCCAUACUCAGAUAGAACGACAACGAGAUGGGCUAAGUUUAUAUUUGAUUAGUUUAUUGUUAAGUCAAUGAAUUGUGUUUAUCUGAAUAAAGUGGUAGGCUUAGCUUGUUUUUAACUUUUUAUCUGCAUGUAUACUUGUUUCUCAAUCGUUUCAAUAGUUUUGUAUACGGAAUAAGUCAUGUGAAUGAAUGAGUUUCACAAUCAUUUCAACAGUUUUUGUAUACGGAAUAUGUCAUGUGAAUGAAUGGGUUUCAAUUAACGGGAGUA